ensembl:lncRNA
GUUUACAUUGAGAAGAGUCCCUAUUGCUGGGUUGCCAGGCUCGAACAGAGGAAGGGUCACUGUUGGAGAACACUGGUCGGGCCUGUGAAAUCACUGUUAUUAAAUGAAAAACAUUACACAAAGAUUAGACUAGCAUGUCUUUGUCACUGGAAGCUGUCACAACACAGGCCGGAGACAAGGGGUAAGUGAACACAGGUAAUGUUUAUUGACAGAUAUGAUUGAUGGAUGAGUUGUGGCUGAGAACAGGUGAGCAGAAACGCUAUAGACAGUUCUUUGGUUCUUAGCUGAGAUCGUUGAUGCUGGGUCUUUUGCAGGUUUGACUGGUAAUGGCUGGAACAGAGAAGAACGGGAUCGAAGGAACGCUGUAGUAUCUGAAGGAAAGCACAUGCAGAAUUUCAGAAAUGUGUCCUUAAAAAGCUGGUGGAGAUCAUGCAGGAAGUCAAGAGAAUUGGAAGUGCAGAACCUAGUAAUUCAACAUACCACAUUAGACGAAUGGAGAGGAUAGAGGAGCUGAAUGCAUUGGAGGAGAAGCUUCAAAAUAAUGAAGAGAGACAUGUUCUGAUUACCCAGUUAAGUAAAGUAGGAGGCAAAAAUGUCAGAGACUGCUCAACAAAGAUUUUGGACAGACUGAUGACCAACAAUCUAAUGUCACAGCUUAACAUGAAGGGCCAUGGCUCAAAAAAAGCAUUUCAGUCAACAGCGCUGUACACCUCUGUGAUAGAUGCAGUCAAAAAGUGGGACAGCAAGGCCACCGAUCACGUCAUUUUACAGUGCCGUGGGAAACCACCUUAAACAUGCCCCUGGACGAUCUGGCGGUGGCGGACACACUGUGGCUGCAAACCAAUAACCACUUAAAUAGAUAUAUAUUUUUUUUGUUGUUGUUGUUAUGGCCUAUAUCUUACCUAUUAAUAAAUGUGUUUUGUUGUUACUUUUUUGUCAGUUGUCCUAUUUUGAGAGUAAUUAUUAAUAGGCUAAUAAUAGGCCUAUAAUGAUAUUUUUACAUAGCCUAAUAAUUAAUUUAUUCUUGAAAUUAGGUUAAAUGUAAGGCUUUAGAAUUAAAAUGGACAUUUUAACGACCUAAAAAAAGGACGUCUUUUCACCUUUCAACUAAAUUUAGACCUAAAACGGACGUCUUUUUAUAGACGUCUUUUCACCUUUCACUUUUCAACUAAAUUUUAACGUUGUUUAGACGUCUGCCAAUGACGUCUUUUCGACAAGUUUU